rnacentral:rRNA from 1 species
GCACUCCUACGGAGGCAGCGAGUGGGGAAUAUUGCACAACUGGGCGCAAGCCUGAUGCAGCCAUGCCGCGGUGUAUGAAGAAGGCCUUCGGGUUGUAAAGUACUUUCAGCAGUGAGGAAGGUGGGUAUGUUAAUAGACAUACUUCAUUUGACGUUAGCUGCAGAAGAAGCACCGGCUAACUCCGUGCCAGCAGCCGCGGUAAUACGGAGGGUGCGAGCGUUAAUCGGAAUUACUGGGCGUUAAAGCGCAUGCAGGUGGUUUGUUAAGUCAGAUGUGAAAGCCCGGGGCUCAACCUCGGAAUUGCAUUUGAAACUGGCAAACUAGAGUACUGUAGAGGGGGUAGAAUUUCAGGUGUAGCGGUGAAAUGCGUAGAGAUCUGAAGGAAUACCGGUGGCGAAGGCGGCCCCCUGGACAGAUACUGACACUCCAGAUGCGAAAGCGUCGGGGAGCAAACAGGAUUAGAUACCCUGGUAG